GAUCCUGGCUCAGAAUCAACGCUGGCGGCGUGCCUAACACAUGCAAGUCGAACGAGAAAGUGGAGCAAUCCAUGAGUAAAGUGGCGACCGGGUGAGUAACACGUGACUACCUACCUUCGAGUGGGGGAUAACUCCGGGAAACCGGAGCUAAUACCGCAUAACAUCGCAAGAUCAAAGCAGCAAUGCGCUGGAAGAGGGGGUCGCGGCUGAUUAGCUAGUUGGUAGGGUAAUGGCCUACCAAGGCGAAGAUCGGUAUCCGGCCUGAGAGGGCGCACGGACACACUGGAACUGAAACACGGUCCAGACUCCUACGGGAGGCA
rnacentral:rRNA from 1 species